ACUGACAGGGGAAUUCCAGUCCCCACAGGAAGCCUCCCCUUCCGGGUUCUUCUUCCCACCCCGCUCCCCGCAUGCGCCAAAUGACUACUAAUACGGAAUGCGGAAGUGACCGACUAUAAAUUGUUCCCUCUGCUUAUGCCUGGGCUCAGACCUCUGGAGACUGAUCUCUGACCUGCCAGUGUAAAAUAAUCUUGCCUUCCAAGAUCUCCGAGUGCCGCUUGACUCUUCUGCCAGGUGAUCCAGACCAGGUUCCGUAACAUUUGGUUUCCUGACCGGGAAACCGUGCUGGCCCAUUGUUGCCACCGGUUUGGGAAAACGGCGAGGCGGUGACGGAACGAGGAAUCACAACCGAGAAGGCGCGCCCUGCCUGAAUUUCGGCAGUCUCCCUCUCGGUGGCCUCAGGCCGGCCCCAGUCUGUCUGCCGUUCCCACUGGACUGGAGGAGACUUGGCCGUGGAGGAUCUGGACCUGACGUCGGAUACAGUUGCCAUGAGGAUGAGAGCUGCUUUGUUCUAUCUGAUGGCUACUUUUCUGGUUCUGUGAUUUGGGGAAGAAGGGGAACAGAUUUCACAAAAUUCCCUUCAUGUCCUUACUUAGAAUGAGGCAAAGAAGAAAAGUACCACAUGUACUGUCCUGGGGCAGCACAGUCAUGGGGCAACAAAGGCACAAAAUGGGGCCUGUAGAGGAUCCAAUGGUUGGCCAAGUAGCAAAGGAUUCAACUCUGUGAGGAUCUUAGGGGCACAGGCUCAGUGAUGGCAAGACGGCAGAUAAUUUCACAGUGCCAUCCUGUUGGUGACUAUAAUUACUGUCCCUGAAGAAUGAAACAAAGACUUCCCACUAAGAUCUAUUGUAGUCCAAUUUAUAUUUCAGAAGUUUAAAUUGAUAAUUAAGUGAUUUUAACACAAACUUUA